rnacentral:rRNA from 1 species
UACGUAGGGACCAAGCGUUGUUCGGAUUUACUGGGCGUAAAGAGCGUGUAGGCGGUUCGAUAAGUCUGCUGUGAAAGUCCAGGGCUCAACCCUGGAAUGCCGGUGGAUACUGUCGGGCUCGAGUCCGGAAGAGGCGAGUGGAAUUCCUGGUGUAGCGGUGAAAUGCGCAGAUAUCAGGAAGAACACCAAUGGCGAAGGCAGCUCUCUGGGACGGUACUGACACUGAGACGCGAAAGCGUGGGGAGCGAACAGG